rfam:Schistosoma rodhaini strain Burundi genome assembly, scaffold: SROB_contig0000281
AGCUUUCUGAAUCUGUGCAAAGGUUUCCUCAGACACCAACCCAUUAGUACCGAUCAGACUUCCAAGAUAAAUGAAGUU